GUGGAUUAAUCAUUUCCGGGAUCACUUUGAUAUCCUUGGUCUCGAAGCACUCGAACUCGUUCAUCGGGAUGGAACCGUCUGGAAUAGACAAAGAUCGAUUAAUGCCGAAAAAACGAUAUGAAU